rnacentral:lncRNA from 1 species
GGGCGGCGCCGCCCCCCGAGCGCGGCGGGGGCAGGGCCGGCGGCGGGCCGGGAGCCCCGGAGCGCUGCUGCCCGGAGCGCUGCUGCCCGGGGGAGCGCUGCUGCCCGCCGGCCCCGCGGGACGGCCGCGCUCAAGUUUGCGCUGAGCAUCGCUGCGGUCCCCGCAGAGCCGCCCGGUCGGUGCGAGUCGCCCAGCAGCGCCCGGAGAAGGGAGAUGCGCGCUCCCGGCGCUGGGAACAGGUAAAGAUCACAACAUGUUGGCUGCCUAUAAUUUCUGAUAGCCAUACAAGAACUCCUGACUGGUUCCCUCCUGACAGGUGAGGUAUCAGCAGUAUGACAGCCUUGACUGAUCUCAUGGGAUUCCCAUCUGCAGACACUCAGUUCCUCUGUUAGGAAACCAGAUUCAUCCUAAGGCAAGCAGGUAAGAAACCAGUGAUACCUUAGGUUUUAAGUUUUCCUGUUCUGU